AUUGAACGCUGGCGGCAUGCCUUACACAUGCAAGUCGAACGGCAGCACGGGAGCAAUCCUGGUGGCGAGUGGCGAACGGGUGAGUAAUAUAUCGGAACGUGCCCAGUCGUGGGGGAUAACGUAGCGAAAGCUACGCUAAUACCGCAUACGAUCUAUGGAUGAAAGCGGGGGAUCGCAAGACCUCGCGCGAUUGGAGCGGCCGAUAUCAGAUUAGGUAGUUGGUGAGGUAAAGGCUCACCAAGCCGACGAUCUGUAGCUGGUCUGAGAGGACGACCAGCCACACUGGGACUGAGACACGGCCCAGACUCCUACGGGAGGCAACAGUGGGGAAUUUUGGACAAUGGGCGCAAGCCUGAUCCAGCAAUGCCGCGUGCAGGAUGAAGGCCUCGGUUGUAACUAGCUUUGUUACGGUAACGGAAACGGUAGAGG
rnacentral:rRNA from 1 species